rnacentral:rRNA from 1 species
UACGUAGGGUGCGAGCGUUAAUCGGAAUUACUGGGCGUAAAGUGUGCGCAGGCGGCUUUGCAAGUCGGGUGUGAAAUCCCCAGGCUUAACCUGGGAACUGCACUCGAGACUGCAUUGCUAGAGUAUGGGAGAGGGAAGUGGAAUUUCAGGUGUAGCGGUGAAAUGCGUAGAUAUCUGAAGGAACAUCAGUGGCGAAAGCGACUUCCUGGACCAAUACUGACGCUCAUGUGCGAAAGCGUGGGGAGCAAACAGG